CUCUUUUUUAUGCUGUUUAAUUUGGUAUAUAAUGUGGUGUAGUCCGUGUCUUUAGUAAUUUUCUAGAUUUUAUUAUAGCGUACGGCUAGGUACAAAUUAGGGAAAUCAGUAGUCCAGUUUAGUUUUAGGUAAUUAGCGUGACGUCAUGCUCUCCGAUAUGUUCGCGCUGACCAGUUAUAGCUAGCUCCGGAACCACGUUGAGCCCUCUUUUGUCUUGACCAGUGGUCAGUGCUGACAGUAUUGCCUGUGUAAAGUUAAUUGUGUGUAGUGUAAUUUCAGCUGGGACCGCCUGUAAGUUGGAAAAUGUUUUUAUUUUUACUUCUUUAGUUUAUAUUUGUAUUAGUUAUUCCUACAUCUACUGUUAUAGUCUAGAUGUAGACUGAUUAGUAGUGAUUAGUAGAGUGACAUCACUGGCUAGUUAAUUAGCCAUGAUUACCUCUGAUAGAACCGGAUGUUCCGUAAACUUGAGUAGCGUCACCCCCUUGCGUCAUCCUUAAUGAUCCCCUUAUUGUUUGUCCAUGUGUAAAUCUUUUAUGUCCCCUAUGUAUUUUUAUUAAUAUCUUAUUGCUAGGAUAACCACUCCAUUAAGUUAGCAUGUUGCCGAUUUUAAUUUUUAAUGUAGAAGAUGGCUGCGUCCUACUCAAGGCUCCAUGAUGGCGGCUUUGUUAAGACAAAUCUAGAUUUGUUAUUGUUGUCUAGCCCAACUGGUGUUGUGGCAUAGACAUUAACUUUUACUCCGGCUAUAAUUCCUGUCGUUACGUCUACUGCCUAACUGUGCGGUAGUACUGUCAUUAUUUCCACUGCCUAGCUGCCUUUAUUAGUAUAUUAUUGCCACAGUUAAGCUGUCUGCUGUACUGUUGUGUUUAGUGUUGGUAUUUUUAGGUGUAAUCUAGUAAAGAUAGUUAGACAUUUGGGUUUCUUAUUAGUGUUGGUAGUGGUAAAGUCUGGUUGAUUAGUUGCUUAUUUCUAAGUUUAUUUAGUUGUUUCUGUAAAGUUUAUCUUUUUUUGUAUUCAUCUAUAUUUUUAUUGCUUUGUAAGUUUGUUGUGAAUAAAGUGUAUUUAUAUUUUGUUUUAUAAA